UUAAAUUAUAUUUAUUAAUUUAGUUUGUUUAGUUUUUAUAUAUUAAAAAUAAUUAUAAAUUUAAAAGUUUUAGUAUUGUUUAAAGAAAAAAUAAAUUUAAUUAUAGUGUAUUAGUAUUGUAAAAGAAAAUUGAAAUAAUUUGAAAAAUUAUUAUUUAAAAAGAAAAUUUUAUUUAUUGUACCUUGUGUAUCAGUGUUUAUUAAAUAAAAAAUAUGUAAGUUUAUUUUUCUCGAUUUUAAAAGAGUUAAUAUAAUAUUAAAGUUAAUGUGAUAAAAUUAUUUUAAAUAUUAUAUUAGAAAUGAAAUGUUAUUCGUUUUUAAAGGUAUCUAGUUUUUCAAGAAAUAAAUUUAAUUUAGAAAUUAUAAAUUUAUUUAAAAAAUUUUUUAAUUAAAUAAUUUAUAAUUUUAAUAUUUUAUGGGAUAAGCUAUAAAAUAAAUUUUUAAAAAUAAUAAAUAAAUUUAAUAAAUAUAUGUUUAGAAUUAGCAAUUAUUAAUAAAUAUGUUAUAAUUUAUUUUAUAAAAAAAAUUAUUUAUUAUAUUUUAAAUAUUUAUUGAAAUAUUAAUUUUAAUUUUUAAAAUUAAUUAAUAAUGAUAAAAUUAGUAUAUUGUAUUGUAAAAUAAAUUUAUAUGAUAAGUUAAAAUAAAG
rnacentral:rRNA from 1 species